AGUCUUAGUCUUUACUCAGUAGUCACUACACACUAGUCAGUUUAAUUUUUGUUUUUAGUGUGUUUUGUGCGCCGAUCGACCCAGUCAUGGGUCGCGGCGCCCGUCGCACUCUUUGUUACCGUCUUAGUUUGCCUUACUCAUUGAAUUAAUGUACCUUGCUUCUUCGCCUUUCCACUGGAGUUUGUUGCGUCCGGCAUCCCUUGCUUUCUGCUCUUAAGUCUUGACAUAAAAAUGUCAUCAUCCAACUAUCAUUUACCAGUCACGUGCGAAUUUCGUUCGCGAUAGGUGAUCCGCCAAUCUCAAUGUUCAUCUUCUGACGGAUGCGGUUUCGGCGUCAUCACCAUUUUUUUAUCUUCGAUCACCAUAUAAUUCAUUAACGUAAAUUAAUAUUCCAGUAGUUGCAGAUUGACGUCCGCCUUUUUAAAAAACUUCUUGAUUUUUUAAGUCAGUAAAUCUCAAUUUUUUACAUCAGUUGCUUGGAUAAAUUAACUACAUGCUACAUCAGUCUUCUUAACUUCUUGGAAUAAAGCAUUGCAUAUUUAAGUAAAAUCAAAUUUUCUGUUUAUUUGUUACUCCGUUGUUUAUCAUAUGGUAAAGUGCAUUAUCUAAAGCUGCUGUUCAAUGUAAAAUAAUUUAAGUUAAGAGAUCAAAAUCUUAAGACUUAAAUUGUUUCAAGAUAGUAUUAUCAUCCAUAUUUUAUUUAUUUGCUGACUAUCAACAUUUAUUUUUGUAAAAUGGCUAUGGCUGUGCUUGUAGAAAUGGUCAUGAGUUCACUUUACAAUGAAUACUCGGCUUAAUGUACCACAGAAUAUAUCUCUCCUGGAUUCAUUACAACAUGACUUAAUGGUAUAUAGAAAGCAUUAACACCUGACCAAAUGUCCUUAAAGAUCACAGGCUCGUCAAACUUGUGUGCAUUACCAAAGUAAGUAAAAAAAAAAAAAUGAAAAUAUACAGUUGCGUUUAUAAAACUUAA